AGCGAACGCUGGCGGCAGGCCUAACACAUGCAAGUCGAACGAACUCUUCGGAGUUAGUGGCGGACGGGUGAGUAACACGUGGGAACGUGCCUUUAGGUUCGGAAUAACUCAGGGAAACUUGUGCUAAUACCGAAUGUGCCCUUCGGGGGAAAGAUUUAUCGCCUUUAGAGCGGCCCGCGUCUGAUUAGCUAGUUGGUGAGGUAAAGGCUCACCAAGGCGGCGAUCAGUAGCUGGUCUGAGAGGAUGAUCAGCCACAUUGGGACUGAGACACGGCCCAAACUCCUACGGGAGGCAGCAGUGGGGAAUCUUGCGCAAUGGGCGAAAGCCUGACGCAGCCAUGCCGCGUGAAUGAUGAAGGUCUUAGGAUUGUAAAAUUCUUUCACCGGGGACGAUAAUGACGGUACCCGGAGAAGAAGCCCCGGCUAACUUCGUG
rnacentral:rRNA from 1 species